ACAAUGGGACAAGUGUGGGGUGUGGUUCGUUCCAUCUUGGAACUUUUUCACACUGAUGAUGAGGAGGAAGGAGAGUAUAACGAAGUAACAGAAGAGGUUACACAGCAGAUGGGUCUAGUAAUGGCAAAGCUUCUUAUUCUGGAUCAAAAGGUAAAGUUUUCCAGACGCCCUAUACUUCAGCUCAAAAAGCGGAGCUUGUAGCUGUAAUUGAGAAGGCCAGAUGUUAUCAGCAGCUGAACAGCAUCUACAGAAACCAGAUGCAAAGACAGAAGCAGAACAACUGAUUUGGUGGAGAGAUCCGGUAACAAAAAGUUGGGAAAUAGGUAAA